GGGCUUGUGGUUUAGUGGUAUGAUACUCCCUUAGCAUCUGGAUGUCUUCUCUUCUUCUGAGAAGCUCACUACUGUAGGAAUUGGGAGUAGUCCGGGGUUCCAUUCCCCGCGAGCCCA